AUGACACGUUUUGGUUUCGAUCCCCAGUGGGUCUCGAUGAUAAUGAGAUGUGUCACCUCAGCUCGUUUUUCUGUAAAAUUAAAUGGUGGGCUAUCCAGGAGCUUUAUACCCUCUCGAGGUUUAAGACAGGGGGACCCGUUGUCACCGUAUUUGUUUCUCUUCUGUGUGGAGGGGUUUUCAGCUCUUUUCAAGAAGGCUCAGAAUGACAAACAGCUAUCGGGGAUGAAGUUUGGGACCACUGGCCCCCAUGUAACUCACCUUUUGUUUGCAGAUGAUAGUAUAGUUUUCCUUGAGGGAACGAAGGAGAAUAUGGAGACUCUAAAACAAAUUCUUGAGAAGUAUGAAAAAGCGUCCGGACAAAAGGUAAACUUGCAGAAGUCCUCGAUCUUUUUUGGAAAAGGAAGCCAAGAUGUGAUGAAGGAACAGAUGAAGCAUAUAGUGGGGAUUCAGUCAGAAGCCCUUAGUGAACAGUAUUUGGGCCUCCCAACACUGGUUGGCAGGUCCAAGGACGGCACUUUUAAACAUGUGACCGAGUGCGCAAAGGGUAAAGUGUGUGAAUGGAAGGGCCAAGGAUUAUCCAAAGCAGCGAGAGAAGUUCUCGUCAAAUCUGUGUUGCAAGCGACACCGACCUACACCAUGAGUUGUUUUCACCUCUUGAAGAAGAUGUGCCGGAGCCUGACUUCAAUCUCGUCUAAAUUCUGGUGGGGUGCAAUGAAUGGUGAGAGAAGGGUCCAUUGGGUCGCUUGGCAGAAGAUGUGUGCGAGCAAGAGGGAUGGGGGCAUGGGAUUUCGUGACCCCGAGGCCUUCAACCAAGCGUUGUUGGCGAAACAAGCGUGGCGUAUUCUACAAGUCCCAACUUCUCUAUGUGCGAGAGUGCUUAAAGCAAGGUACUUUAAAGAUGACUCAAUUCUUUCCGCUUCAUGUCCUGCUUCGGGCUCUUUCACCUUCAGGAGCAUUUUGCAUGGCCGGAAUUUGCUAAGGGAGGGCCUGAUUUGGAGAGUAGGGUCGGGGUCAAUAUUAACAUCCAUCACGACUCGUGGAUCCCUCGGAGCGGGAGCACUAAACCCCUCGGUCAAGUAUACAUGCAGGGCAUAA
rnacentral:rRNA from 1 species